rnacentral:rRNA from 1 species
CCUACGGGCGGCAGCAGUGGGGACUAUUGCACAAUGGGGGAAACCCUGAUGCAGCGACGCCGCUUGGGUGACGAAGUAUUUCGGUAUUUAAAGCCCUAUCAACAGGGAAGAAGAUGACAGUACCUGACUAAGAAGCCCCGGCGGACUACGUGCCAGCAGCCGCGGUAAUACCUAGGGGGCAAGCGUUAUCCGGAUUGACUGGGGGUAAAGGGAGCGUAGGUGGCAUGGCAAGCCAGAAGUGCAACCCCGGGGCUUAACCCCGCAGAUUGCUUUUGGAACUGUCAGGCUGGAGUGCAGGAGGGGCAGGCGGAAGUCCUGGUGUAGCGGUGAAAUGCGUAGACAUCAGGAGGAACACCGGUGGCGAAGGCGGCCUGCUGGACUGUAACUGACACUGAGGCUCGAAAGCGUGGGGAGCAAACAGGAUUAGAUACCCUUGUAGUC